rnacentral:snRNA from 1 species
AGCUUUCCACAGUGGCAGUAAUCAUAACCAAUGAGUUAAUCUGAGGUGUGAUUAUUGCUAGUUGAAAAUAUCUCGUCCUCUCCCCCUUCCUGUGGGUAGAUGGUACAGUACUACUGUAUGACAGCAGAAACUGU